AGGACCCAGAGCAGAACAGUUAUAUCUACAGGAAAGAUGUGGUAAUGGUAAAGGCCAGUUCAGGAUAAAUCACAAGAAUGGGUCACUUUCCACCAGCUAACUGUUGAAAUCUGCAAUUUGGUGCCUUCUUCCUCUAGGUAGAAUGUUAGUGCUAAAUAGAAUACCUAAAGGCACAGUACAUAAGUGUUUUGUAUGUGCAAUAAGAUGUGGUGAGGACCCUAUCAUAACAAGGCUCCAUGAAACAGGGACCUUGGUGUCCCCAUUCCACAGCAUGGGACAUGUGUAUGGGGAUCUUUGUAUACCUGAACUGGAUGGAGCAAAGCUACUUACAACAUGGAAUGACUUUAUGCUUACAGUCAAUCAUGUACUCAGGAA